AUGGCAACGCUAUGACGAAGUCUUUAUCAACGAAAGUAAGUACAACAGUAUACCAAGAGAUGCAAGUGAAGAAAAAGGAAUAAGUAUUCGGCCGUUAGCAGAGUACAAUGACCGGAACAGGGAUGUGUGGACCACCUUCUGGGCCGCCACCAGCAACCCAAGAGACCUGAUAUUCGACAGGCUGCUGUUCUGGCCCGUGCAUGUGAACGAGUGGCUUCUAAUCGACAACGUGGGAGCCUAUUCAACGGUGCUAGCUUGUAGCUUCAACGGCUCGGGCAUGCCUCCAGUCAUUUACAUUACGUCUGCAGAUGACGCCGAGAACGUCAGUAAAGGCACCGCGGCCGCUGCAAUUUGCAGUGGCUAUUCCCAGUUGGAGCGCGCAGUCAAGUGAAUCAGAGGCACCGCGGGUCAUGGAUUAAUAUUUCUUCCAAUGUCACAUUCAUUGUAACUCAACAGAGUGGCAUUAGGGGCACGCAUUGGCUGAUGAAAGUAAAUUUUAAUACAAGUGUUUAUGAGCGAAUGUAUGGUAUAAUUUCCCAAAAACCCUAUACACGUUCUCUUCUAUAUAUAUAAUGAAUCAAUUCUUUCACUUCAUGCUCAUGACAGCACUUUCAAACCGCAGCCACUCGCGUGUACCUGAUUCGGAGAACUUUUACCCCUUUCAUAAAAAGGUCAUUCGUCGCGUGUGUUGACUAGCCUCAUUUUAAACUUUCCUGAUCAAAGCCAACUCAUUGUAACAGGAUUGAUUCUUACAACUGAGCAGUGCCUAAUGAUUUCAGUCAAUAAAAUGUAUUCAAAGG